GACGAACGCUGGCGGCGUGCUUAACACAUGCAAGUCGAACGGAAAGGCCCUGCUUUUGUGGGGUACUCGAGUGGCGAACGGGUGAGUAACACGUGAGUAACCUGCCCUUGACUUUGGGAUAACUUCAGGAAACUGGGGCUAAUACCGGGUAGGAGCUCCUGCUGCAUGGUGGGGGUUGGAAAGUUUCGGCGGUUGGGGAUGGACUCGCGGCUUAUCAGCUUGUUGGUGGGGUAGUGGCUUACCAAGGCUUUGACGGGUAGCCGGCCUGAGAGGGUGACCGGCCACAUUGGGACUGAGAUACGGCCCAGACUCCUACGGGAGGCAGCAGUGGGGAAUAUUGCAAAAUGGGCGGAAGCCUGAUGCAGCAACGCCGCGUGCGGGAUGACGGCCUUCGGGUUGUAAACCGCUUUCGCCUGUGACGAAGCGUGAGUGACGGUAAUGGGUAAAGAAGCACCGGCUAACUACGUG
rnacentral:rRNA from 1 species